rnacentral:lncRNA from 1 species
UGGAGCAGGAGGCGCCCAUGCCGCAGCUAGAUGGACCGCGCCGCCGUGCCGUGCGGUGCGCGUCCGCGUCCUCGGCACCACCUGCCCAUCAAACGGGUCAGAUCAAAUGAAACACUCCCGGGUCAGAUCGGAGCAAACGAACGACACGGCGCCGGUAGUGGAAAGCGCCGCCGACCCCAUCACUGGGAGCUCGGCGAAGCCGGGGAUGAGCUGGACCUGGACGUCCCCGGCGGAGGAGGAGGAGGUGGCGGGGCACGGUAAGCGCCGAGUGAGGUAGGACAGCAGGUGGCCUCGUCGGAGAGACGCGCGCGGCGGGGGAGAGCGGGGGAAGGGGAGGGAGGAGAGGUCGUAGAUGGGCGUCGGUGGAGUUGAC